GGGUGAGUAGCUCAGCCGGUUAGAGCAGAGGCCUCUUAAGCCUAAGGUCGAGGGUUCGAGUCCCUCCUUACCCACCA
rnacentral:tRNA from 1 species